UUGACGUGUCUUAUCUUGGGACAUAAUCUUUCCAGGAAAAUUAUAUGGGAUAGCAUGCUAAACUAGUGGAUGGCCUAUGCUUUCUAAAAGAAAUAAUCUCUCUGAGGUUUUCUUGGAGGUGCUUGCCUGAAAGAAAACCUAGACUCCACUUUGAAGACUUGGUGUUAUGGCUUUGUUUUUGAACCUUGUCUAUACAAGUAACUGAUUCCCUCCAUCCAGAAACUUUAAAAAGGAAGAGCUUAUUGCUGAGUUUACCUAUAAUUGACAGGGCACAGUAUAAAGAUUAGAUAUUGAAAACCUCAAUGCUACUCCCACCAGGCAAGCACUAGAUGAACAGGUCAAUAAAAAGAAGCAUUAAAGUAAACUUGGCUUCUAUUUCUUCUGACACAGUACAGUAAAUGGGAAUGAACCAUGGCCUGUUUUCUGUAACGUAUUCAUUCAUUCAACAUUUAUUACUGAUCACUUGCUCUACACUAGAAAUACACAAUGAAUAACAUUGCCACAGUCUCAGCCACCAUGGAUAUUAAUGUUAUAAACCAACAGCAGCUAAUAUCUAUUUAACCCUUGUGAAGUGUCAGUAUCAUGUCAAACAUUUCACAUGCAUUACUUCACUUAAUUCUGACAGCAACCCUAUGAAGAUAUUACUAUUCCCAUUUUUCAGAGGAAAACACUGGAGAG
rnacentral:lncRNA from 1 species